CAUUUUCGUUCGGUUUAGAAUUUUACGUUGGCAGAUGUUUUCUUUGGGCACUUCAAGGAUAUCAUUGUUAUUACCUGCCUUCUCUAUCUUCUGAUGAAAAGUCGGUGUUCACUUAUUGUUUCUCAUUUGAAGGAUAAAAUGGAAGUGAUUGCUCUUUCUGAUUUGCUUUGGGAAGUGAUGAAACAAAAGAUGAUGAUUAUUUGUAAAAGAAGAAUCAAUAGUCGCUGAAUGAGGGCCUGAAUGAUUCUCCGAUGAGUCAAAGACAAAGGAACUACCAAGGCGCAGAGAAGUCAGGCAACGUACCCAAGGGCACACAGCUCACAAGGGUGUGUGGCUGUGUCUUGAUAUGGGGCCUAAGUCUCCUUCCAUCCUCACUGCUCUGCCUCACUUUGGAGCCAUUCAAUUGAAGUUUAUUGAACGAUUGAAAAAUCGAAGAUCAAGUGAAGAGUUUGAGGUUUUGGAAUUGGAAAAGCCUUCAGAAUUUCCUGGAACCCUCAGAUCAUUCUUGAAGCCCUCCCUGUAUGAAGGAAACAUCUCUGUUUCCUCCAAAAGAAAGGCAGAGCAAUCUUCCUAAUUUAAGCAUCUUGGGUACAAAUCUUUAGAUUGAGAAUGUGUAACUUCAAAAUAGUCAAUAAAAAAAAGACUAACAUCAAGAUAUAACAAAAUGCAUUAAUGAGAGUCUUGAGGGUACAUCAGUUUGUUGAGAACUCAAAUUUUCCUCUAGUCAUUGUGAUGCUAUUGAAUAAGUCACAUUUGUGUUUAUAAUUGGUUUAACUUCUUCAUUUUAACCAUAUGUUUGUAUCUGGUUUAGUUAAAAGAAAAAAAUAGUAAAAGAUUUACCGGGUUCAAUCAUAUAGUUCUUUUAAAAGCUUUGGUAAUGGGGAGCCAGCAAGGGUUUCUGAACAGAUGUUUGAUUUUAUUAGACUUUAGGAAGAUUAAUAUGGGCAAUCUACUUAGUUGCAUAGGAUGCUGUAUUAACUAGCCCACAGUGGCCAUAGCAGUGGGGUUUUCAGAGCAACUGCUUUUGAUCAGGGAGUAACUUCUAGUGCUACUCAAGUUAUCCUACAUUACAUGGUGCUGACUGUGCUUUUGUAUAGAGUGAUCCUCUUGGACAUCCGAGUGCCUUCCUGAGUACCCAAUACUGAGUCCAAUUCAUGAGAGACAAGUAAAGACUGCAGGUAAAGUCCCCAAGCCAGUGGGUCUCAUUGGUAGAGUUCACAUUGCUUCUCUCUUAAAGUGAUUGAUCACUGAUAGACUCAGAUGACAAGGGGAGCAGCAGUUGGUGAGACAUGAGUAUGGUCCACCCAUUAGAGAUGGCUCUCAAAGUAUAGAUGUGUAAACACAUUUCAUUGUUAUGAGUUUUAUGAGCACCAGAAUGAAGCACAUUUGGCUUUUAUCACUGGGCAUUAAAUAGGGGAAGAUGGAUGCAAUGCAGUGUUCAUGUUAUCCUUUAUAUUAUGUUCAAAAUUAUUAAGCUGCACUUAGGACACAUUUGGAAAAAAAUACUGGGAUUUGAACAUCACAUAGAAAAGCCGGUGUAUGUUUCACAGGAUGUUGGGCUUCAGGAGAGAGAGAAGAGGAAGAGGGAAGAGAACAGUCUUUACAUACUUCAUUUUUCCCCCAUACAUCAUACACAAAUAAUAAAAUAUUGUCCCAAAGAUUUUAGUUAAUUGUAAUGUAUCUCUGGAUAUCCCUCUGAGCAGUCAUUUCUGGAGUCCAUACACAGAAGAAAGACCAGUUUAUUAUCUGCUGAACAAUAGGCUAACUUGAAUCAUUGUUAUUAUUCAUUUGGAAAGUCUAAGAAAAGGCUGCAUUCUUAGACAAAACCAGGAGAUAGUUCUUUGCCUGGUAGGAGUGAUGGUGCUUGGCCAAACAUAGCCAGCAGAAUGUGAGCUAGCCAAGGAAACAGAGAUAGGGCUGGAUUCCUCAGAGAGACAGUGAAUCUUGGAAAGGUGGACAGAAGAAGCAAAUUAUGAGGAGGUAUUUAAAGAAGGAAGACAGAUUUGUCCCUAUUUGUAGACAGACUAAGUAAAGCAGAUGGUUGCUUCUGAAGUGUGAGUUUAGGCAGGCCUCACUGCCCCAAAUUAUCUUUAAUGUUGGCCAAUCAUUGUAUCAGAAAUUCCUACCAUCAAGAACUUUUAAGCUGAUGCAGUGAUCACCAUCAUUAAAUGCAAAGGAUAACUGGAAAGGGAAAUGCCUAAACUUAUUGCACAGAUACUGUUGUUUGCUCAUACAUAGGCCAUUUCCCCUUUAUUGCUAACAAUGUCCCAGUUUUGUUCAGAUACAGGGUGAAUAUUAUUGGAUUUCUGGGAAGAUGGACCCACCAGUUUAUGUGUGAGGAUGUUACCCAGUUCCAGCCAAAGGGAUAUAAAGAAGAUUCUGCUGGAGGGAAGUCCUUCGAAAGAUUUUUCUGCUGAUGAAGAGAGAUAUAAAGUGACAGACUUACCCAAUUUCUGACUUUUAUGAGGUCUUGAGAGGAGAUGAUGCCCAUAACUGCUGCAUCCAUCUUGAGAUUGUGAAAAGAAGGGAAAGAAACAGGCUGAGAUCCCAACUCAAAGUUGAUAUCCACAUAGCAAUCAUCAACCACUGGACCUUCUGCUGGUUGCAGGUCCUUCUAGUUGUGGGAUGUGGGACGCAGCCUCAACAUGGCCUGACCAACGGUGCCAUGUCCGCACCCAGGAUCUGAACCCUUGGCCACAGCGGAGUUCGCGAACUUAACCACUCAGCCACGGAGCCAGCCCCGCAAAGCUACCAACUUCUACCAAGUAGAUUGGCCAAAUAGAUUCAGCACACUUCCACACAGAUCCAUUUCAUACCUUUCUCUCUCCUCCCCAGUGACCGUAGAAGCUGACCAAAAUAGAAUUCAUCACGCAGGCUUCCAUGUCCUCUGAAUUUUUGUUGGGUUAAGCCGUUGGAAGAAAGUAGCAGGAGAACAGGGGAUGAGAAGAGAGAGAAGUUUGAGUGUUUAUUUCUCCUUACUCCCUCCUACUUUUUUUUUUUUUUUGAGGAAGAU